UACAGAGGGUGCAAGCGUUGUUCGGAAUUAUUGGGCGUAAAGCGCGUGUAGGCGGCUUUGCAAGUCGGGUGUGAAAGCCCUCAGCUCAACUGAGGAAGUGCGCCCGAAACUGCAGAGCUUGAGUGCCGGAGAGGGUGGCGGAAUUCCCCAAGUAGAGGUGAAAUUCGUAGAUAUCGGGAGGAACACCGGUGGCGAAGGCGGCGACCUGGGUCGAGACUGACGCUGAAGCGCGAAAGCGUGGGGAGCAAACAGG
rnacentral:rRNA from 1 species